rnacentral:rRNA from 1 species
CACGCCCUAAACGAUGCAUAUUUGGUGUGGGCAGUUCAUUCUGUCCGUGCCGGAGCUAACGCGUUAAAUAUGCCGCCUGGGGAGUACAGUCGCAAGGCUGAAACUCAAAGGAAUUGACGGGGGCCCGCACAAGCGGUGGAGCAUGUGGUUCAAUUCGACGCAACGCGAAGAACCUUACCUGGGCUCGAACGGCCGGUUACCGGCGGUGGAAACAUCGCUACCCCGCAAGGGGGUCCGGUCGAGGUGCUGCAUGGCUGUCGUCAGCUCGUGUCGUGAGAUGUUGGGUUAAGUCCCGCAACGAGCGCAACCCUUGUCCUGUGUUGCCAUCAUUAAGUUGGGAACUCGCAGGAGACCGCCAGGGAUAACCUGGAGGAAGGUGGGGAUGACGUCAAGUCCUCAUGGCCUUUAUGUCCAGGGCUACACACGUGAUACAAUGGACGGUACAAAGCGCUGCAAACCCGCGAGGGGGAGCCAAUCGCAGAAAACCGUUCUCAGUUCGGAUUGCAGGCUGCAACUCGCCUGCAUGAAGCUGGAAUCGCUAGUAAUGGCAUAUCACCCCUAGUCCCAAAGUCGUCGCCGUGCCUACCCACGGUUCCAUCCGGACGGUUCA